GUUCAUGCUUGAUUCAGCAACACAUACUAAAAUUGGAACAGUAGAGAGAUUAGCAUGGUUCCUGCCCAAGGGUAACAUGUAAAUUUCUGAAAUAUUCUGUUAUAAA
rnacentral:snRNA from 1 species